UACGGGGGGAGCAAGCGUUGUUCGGAUUUACUGGGCGUAAAGGGCGGGUAGGCGGCCACCGCAAGUCAGUUGUGAAAUCUCCGGGCUUAACCCGGAAAGGUCAACUGAUACUGCGGGGCUAGAGUGCAGAAGGGGCAACUGGAAUUCUCGGUGUAGCGGUGAAAUGCGUAGAUAUCGAGAGGAACACCAGUGGCGAAGGCGACUACCUGGCCUGUUCUUGACGCUGAGGCGCGAAAGCUAGGGGAGCAAACAGG
rnacentral:rRNA from 1 species